AUGGCGGAGGGCUUCGGGCGCUGGGAGUCGGAUCCGCUCUUCCCCGCGGCCGAGUGCGUGCAGGACUCCGCCGACAGGAUGGACGGUGUCUACCGCUUGCUUUUGCAUGAAAAGAAAGUUAUACAAGAUGACACUUCAGAUGCAAAACUUCAUGCACCGAUACAGUAUGAGAGAGAUGUGGCUACUGCUCUCGGAACUACCAAGUGGCAGUUAGAGCAAUUUGAGAGGGAGGUGAAUGCAGCUGCAUUCUCUGAUAAGUCAACUUCAAGGGAAAAUGCAAUCUUAAAGUUCAGGCAAUUCAUUAGAGCUAUAGCUGAGCAAAUUUCUGAGGUGGAAGAAAGCUUGAAGACUCUUAGGACAGAUUUCAGUAGAACUCCGAAAUCUCCAUACUCCUCAAGUGAACAGGAUGGAGAUGGGCUGGCAUCUUUCCUUUCUGGUGGCAACAGUCAUAGUCAUGCAUACUACUCCACUGAUACAAAUGAAAUUACUGAACUUAAGCUCGACAGUGCACCUAUGGUAAAUGGUUAUCAUUCUGCCCAAGAACAUACAACACGUGAACUCAGAUAUUCAGGAAAUGAUGUGGAAGGGGCAUCAAAAUUGCAAUGUUCACGUGGAGAAAGUGCAUCCGAAGGAGAUCAUUACGGUAGCACUUUGUGUAGUUUGGAUGCUGAUGAUUCGUUAGGUACAAGCCAUCAUUACAAGAACAAACUGAGCAGUCAGUACCGCAGUUUUAUGAGAAACUUAUGGUUUACGAAUAGAGACCAUCAGAGCUUUACAAAGAGGAGGAAAGAUGGAGAAGUUGUUGAUGGCUUGAGAAAUGGAAAUAUAUUACCUCCCUUCAACCUACGUACAUCAGGAAGGACUACGUAUUGCUGGCCUGAACUUAUCAAGAGAACAUUAAGUAGAUCUGAAUAUUCUACACGCUACAAUCACCCUCAACUUUUUGUAGCAACAUCACUACUAGUUGCACUUGCUGUCCUUGGCUUGCUGGUUUUGCAUGUCAAGUGA
rnacentral:rRNA from 1 species